CAUCAAGACCGUUUUUCAAGAUGGCCGCUUCCAUUCCUAAACGGGUUCUUCCGUACAUCUCCCCACCUCCCCCAACCAGAGGUGAACUAGCAUGUUUAAAACCUAAAGUAAAAGGGGGGAAAAUUGUGAUUAUUACAGCUAACAAAAAUAACUCUUGUAUAGUUUCUUAAUGUCUACAAAACAAUUUCUUCGAAGCAAACCUCUGAAGAAGGAAAGGAUGAUAGAAAAUAAGUAGUGCCGUAAACAUCUAUUUCAUUUCUACUUUUGCUACCAAGGAGGAUGAUCUUUAGAAUGUGAGAGAUGGAACAAACCUGGUUUUGAGGGCAUUGGAACCUAAGAACAUAACCUCCUCGAGAGAAGCGACUGCAUAAUUUUUUAUUCUUGUGCAGCAGGGCCUGGUACAUGUGCACAGUGCCUUCCAUAGGAUCUCUCUGCCCUGUUCCCAGGAGAAAUCCCAGGAGAAAUCCCAGGAGAAUCGCUAUGUCACAUAAGGGACAAGUGCCUUGGAGAGACUAGAGCAUCCUAGACAUUCUGUAACUGAUUGAGAGCAAAUAACUAUAUGUGAAGAAGCAGGCUGUUUGGCUUCAGCAUCUAAAAAGACCUGUCAUUGAAGGGUAUGAACAAACAGUUCUCAAAAGAAGACCUACAAAGUAUUCAUAACCACAUAAAAAAUGCUCCAAAUCACUAAUAAUAAGAGAGAUAUAAACCAAAACAACUCUGACGUUUUGCCUCACAUUCUGCAAAUUGGUAAAAACAACCAAAAAUGGCAACAGUCAAUGUUGGAGGAGUUGUGGGGAGAGAGGCACACUCAUCCAUUGUUUGCAGAGCUGUGAAACCAUUUUGGAAAGCAAUUUGGAAUUAUGGAAAUCAAGUGACUAAAAUGUCCAUAC